rnacentral:rRNA from 1 species
UACGUAGGGUGCGAGCGUUAAUCGGAAUUACUGGGCGUAAAGCGUGCGCAGGCGGUUCUCCAAGUCCGUUGUGAAAGCCCCGGGCUCAACCUGGGAAUGGCAAUGGAUACUGGCAAGCUAGAGUGCGGUAGAGGGUAGUGGAAUUCCCGGUGUAGCGGUGAAAUGCGUAGAGAUCGGGAGGAACACCAGUGGCGAAGGCGGCUACCUGAACCAGCACUGACACUGAGGCACGAAAGCGUGGGGAGCAAACAGG